rnacentral:rRNA from 1 species
AUGCUUCUCGCCGUCAUCGCCGUCGUCCUGCUCCUGCUGCCGCAGGCCAUGCCGUUCGAGGCCUCCUCCUGCGACGGCAGCACCUACGCGCCCAACAGCCCUUUCCAGGCGAGCCUCAACCUCGUCGCCGCGGCGCUCCCCGGCAACGCCUCCUCCAUGCCGUCCGGCUUUGCCACCGCCGACGCCGGCACGUCUCCCACCCGGGCCUACGCCAUGGCGCUCUGCCGCGGCGACGUCAACGCCUCCACCUGCGCCGCCUGCGUGGCCGCCGCGUUCCGUGCCGCCGGCGCGCAGGACAACUGCCCCAACAACACGGGCGCCACCAUGUACGAGGACGCCUGCGUCCUUCGGUUCUCCACCGUGCAGUUCCUCGACUUCCUCAGGGCCGACCAGUGGCAGCCCGGAGAGCUUACUUUUCAAAUUGCCCCGGCGUCUUCGAAUGUCGGGUCAGCACAGGGAGCAUGGUUCAGCGCCGCCGCCACGUCCAUCCUCACCGCGGUGGUCGACCACGCAUUGGCCGCGGCGGGCAACUCGACGACCGCCAAGAAGUACUUCGCCACGGGCGAGGUGGACUUCCAGCCCAGGAUCUACGCGCUCGCGCAGUGCCUCCCGGAGAUGACGCCGUCACAGUGCCAGAGCUGCCUCGGGACCCUCCUCGUGCAAACAACACCCAUGCUCAGCACCAAGCCCCGAUGGAUCAUGGCUUUAGUGGCCUGGUGCAACCUGAGGUACAGCGUGCGGCCGUUCUACGAGGGCUGGUCGAUGCUGCGGCUCCCGGCGCCACCACCGCCAGCAGUCGUGCCGCCAUCUGUAACUCCAAAGUCUGGAGGAACAGGGAAGAAAAUGAGUGUAGCAGGAAUCUCCGUGGGCAUUGUUUGUUCCGUCCUCUUGCUAUUUGUUCUUUCGGUUUUUGCUUUCGUUCGAUUCAAGAGAAGGACUACUAAGCAUUCAGAAGACGACCACCCAUUCAAGAAAAUUGUGGGAGCACAAUGCAUGAUCUUUGAUUUAUCGGCGCUGCAAGAGGCAACUGAAAGCUUCUCGGAAAAGAAUAAGCUCGGAGAAGGUGGUUUUGGCAUUGUGUACAAGGGGAUACUAGCAGAUGGGCAGGAAAUAGCAGUGAAGAAGCUUUUGGGAGGAACCGGGAGCGGUUUGCAUCAGCUGCACAAUGAGGUGCAGCUAUUGGCAGAGCUGCAGCACAAGAACCUUGUUAGAUUACAGGGGUUUUGCUCGCAUCGGGAUGAUACGCUGCUCGUUUAUGAAUAUAUCAAGAAUGGGAGCCUCGACAACUUUCUAUUCGAAACCAGUGAGGAAAACACACUGAGCUGGGCGCAACAGCACAACAUCAUUCUUGGGAUUGCCAAGGGAAUUUUGUAUCUUCACGAGGAUUCAAGCAUGAGGAUCAUCCACCGGGACCUGAAACCUAACAACAUUCUCGUUGACGACGGCAUGAAUCCGAAAAUCGCAGACUUUGGACUUGCAAGGCUGCUAGGAGAAGGUCAUACUCAUACUAAGACAGCUAGAGCUGUUGGAACACUAGGUUACAUGGCACCCGAGUAUGCAAUACACGGACGCGUGUCGCCCAAGAUCGAUAUUUUCAGCUUCGGUGUCUUGGUCCUCGAAAUUGUUACUGGGAGACGGAACAGCAGUUCUGAUGAUCGCGAUGAAGUGAAUCUUAUUAGUGAUGUGUGGAACUGCUGGACCAAAGGGACGAUAUCGCAGAUGAUAGACCGAUCGCUGGAUGAACACGCUCGAAGCCAGGCUUUACGAUGUAUCCACAUCGGGUUGAUGUGCGUCCAGUCGGACCCUAUCGACAGGCCUUACAUAUCAUCCGUCAUUUUCAUGUUAACCAGGGACAACACGGAGAUUCAAGCACCCGCGCAACCUGCAUUCUUCUUUGGGAGAGAAGCGGCUUUAGCUUCUCCGGCAUAUGACCGAUCUGAUUUCAUCCUGGGACAGGAUGUCUCUGUGAAUGCGGUUACAAUUACUGAGCCGUAUCCUAGGUAG